GACGAACGCUGGCGGCGUGCCUAAUACAUGCAAGUCGAACGCAUUUUCUUUCACCGUAGCUUGCUACACCGAAAGAAAAUGAGUGGCGAACGGGUGAGUAACACGUGGGUAACCUGCCCAUCAGCGGGGGAUAACACUUGGAAACAGGUGCUAAUACCGCAUAAUUCCAUUUACCGCAUGGUAGAUGGAUGAAAGGCGCUUUUGCGUCACUGAUGGAUGGACCCGCGGUGCAUUAGCUAGUUGGUGGGGUAACGGCCUACCAAGGCUGCGAUGCAUAGCCGACCUGAGAGGGUGAUCGGCCACACUGGGACUGAGACACGGCCCAGACUCCUACGGGAGGCAGCAGUAGGGAAUCUUCGGCAAUGGACACAAGGCUGACCGAGCAACGCCGCGGGAGGGAAGAAGGGUUUCGGAUCGUAAAACUCUGUUGUUAGAGAAGAAAAAGGAUGAGAGUGGAAAGUUCAUCCCUUGACGGUAUCUAAACAGAAAGCCACGGCUAACUACGUG
rnacentral:rRNA from 1 species